rnacentral:lncRNA from 1 species
CCACCUUGGUCACCAUCUAGAGUUUUGUGAGUUAUUGAUUAUAUUGUUUCUAGGCCGAAGUGGGAACUUGGUCUAGUCAUUCUAUUCAUGGAUGAAUUCUUUAUUUGCUAAUAAAAUUUUUCUUGGCCCGUUAAUUUUGUUCCAUUGUCUCACAUAUAAGUGACUACAAACACAACCAUGGUUUUAAAACUUGUAGUGG